rnacentral:lncRNA from 1 species
CCUGAAUUCUAGACCUCCACAAGGGAGGGGCUCUUGGGUGCUGGUAUCAAGAGAAUUGAUUCUCCUGUUUAAAACUCAGAAGUACAACCCCGAAUGGGUUUUGGCAACUUGGUAAGAGCUGUUGCUAGAACUGCAGCAGUGCAGAAAAGGAAUGUCUGGAAAGGAGGCUGCCAGAGGCAGGGCUCUGUGUCACUGGAGAAAUUUCAAUCUAAUUGUGAAAAUACGAGAACGUGCUGUUCUAACCCACCUCUGCAAAAUCUCUUGAGGCAGGUCUGACCCUCUGGGUGGAGGCUGAGGGCACUGCUGAGGUAAAAAGGUGGGGAGAAGAAAGACUGCUGGGCUGCUUGCAUUCCUGUGGUGGUAGCCCCUGCAAACA